ACUCUUCGUGUUCCCUCAAAGGCUUCCAGUAUUCAGUAAGCUAAGUUACUUGAAUGCUGGAAGUUUUUGAAGGAAUUUGAAACUU
rnacentral:pre_miRNA from 1 species